CACGGGGACCUUAGAAACGGUGGGGAAAUUAAAGAGUAUAAAUUUCCAGCUGCUUAUACGAACACCAAUCGAAAAAAUCGACAAGAAAAAAAAAGUACGGCUUGCGAUUAGGUGAGCGGAUUUUGCGUGUGUUGCUUUCUCGCUUCUGCGAGCAUGUACGGUCGCCUGAAAGAGCGCGCUAGUAUGAGGCUUGUGGCAGUCGCGUUUUUCGUGACGACUGUCACCUACGAUGCAAACACACUUUCUGUUCCUCAGAGGAGAGCAGCUGGAGUGAAAAUUCUAGGCCCUAGAGAAUGCGCUCCAGGUGAAGCGUACACCUGUGUCAGUGGGGACUGCGGAGAGAGAACCUGCGCAGAUGCUGCAGACGACAACAAGAUCUGCGCAAGGACCUGCAUCACGGGCUGCUUUUGUGCCCCGGGCCUGUUCCGUCGUCCCACGGACCGCAGAUGCGUCCCGAGGGAGCAGUGUAACAAUACCAAGAUGCCAAUCGCAGCGGCCUCUUCCUUACAAUGAAUCGGGGACACUGCUGCAGACGCUUCCUCGUGUACCCACGAUUGGCUUUAUAAAUUAUGGUUUCCACCGACAAA